CUACUACCGAUUGAAUGGCUCAGUGAAGGCCUCCGGACUGAGCUUGGGGAGGUUGGCAACGACCACCCUGAGCCGAGAAAGUUCGUCAAACUCGGUCAUUUAGAGGAAGUAAAAGUCGUAACAAGGUU
rnacentral:rRNA from 1 species